rnacentral:rRNA from 1 species
UAAGGAGGAUGCGAGCGGUAUCCGGAUUUAUUGGGUUUAAAGGGUGCGUAGGCGGAAUGGUAAGUCAGUGGUGAAAUGGUGCAGCUCAACUGUAGCAUUGCCAUUGAUACUGUCAUUCUUGAGUACAGAUGAGGUAGGCGGAAUGUGGUGUGUAGCGGUGAAAUGCUUAGAUAUACCACAGAACACCGAUUGCGAAGGCAGCUUACUAAGCUGACACUGACGCUGAAGCACGAAAGCGUGGGUAUCAAACAGG